GUGAGUCAUCGAAUCUUUGAACGCACAUUGCGCCCUCUGGUAUUCCGGAGGGCACGCCUGUCCGAGUGUCAUUUCUACCUCGAGCUUCGGGCUUGUUGUUGGGUACCGCCCGUGGGGGCGCGCCUCAAAUCCAUUGGCGCCUCUGAGAGGCCCCAAAACGCAUAGAGCUUAACCGCCCGCGUUUGGGGGGCUGAUAGGGGGCGGCCUCUUUGCCCGUGUGUGGCUUUCUAACGUAUGGCCUCGGAUCAGGCGGGGUUACCCGCUGAACUUAAGCAUAUCAAUAAGCGGAGGA
rnacentral:misc_RNA from 1 species